UACGUAGGCAGCGAGCGUUGUUCGGAGUUACUGGGCGUAAAGGGUGUGUAGGCGGUUGUUUAAGUUUGGUGUGAAAUCUCCCCGGCUCAACUGGGAGGGUGCGCCCGAAUACUGAAUGACUUCGAGUGCGGGAGAGGAGAGUGGAAUUCCUGGUGUAGCGGUGAAAUGCGUAGAUAUCAGGAGGAACACCGGUGGUGUAGACGGCUCUCUGGGCAACUCCUGACGCUGAGGCGCGAAAGCGUGGGGGAGCAAACGGG
rnacentral:rRNA from 1 species